rnacentral:snRNA from 1 species
CGCUCAGGCCUCUCCUCAAUUACCCAUUGCGAUUUGAUCUUUCGCCUUUUACUAAAGAUCACCGUUGGGAGGGGCCGCUAAUGAGCUUACACGGCAAUUUUUGAAUGGCCCUGGUCGUUUGGCUG